rnacentral:rRNA from 1 species
AGUGAACGCUGGCGGUAGGCCUAACACAUGCAAGUCGAACGGCAGCACAGUAAGAGCUUGCUCUUACGGGUGGCGAGUGGCGGACGGGUGAGGAAUACAUCGGAAUCUACUUUUUCGUGGGGGAUAACGUAGGGAAACUUACUCUCAUACCGCAUACGACCUACGGGUGAAAGCAGUGGAUCUUCGGGCCUUGCGCGAUUGAAUUAGCCGAUGUCGGAGUAGCUAGUUGGCGGGGUAAAUGCCCACCAAGGCGACGAUCCGUAGCUGGUCUGAGAGGAUGAUAGGCGACACGGGAACGGAGACACGGUCCAGACGCCUAAGGGAGGCAGCAGUGGGGAAUAUUAGACAAUAGGCGCAAGCCUGAUCCAGCCAUACCGCGUGGGUGAAGAAGGCCUUCGGGUUGUAAAGCCCGUUUGUUGGGAAAGAAAAGCAGCAGGUUAAUACCCCGCUGUUCUGACGGUACCCAAAGAAUAAGCACCGGCUAACUUCGUG